CAGGACGAACGGCCUGGCGGCGUGCCUAAUACAUGCAAGUCGAACGGCUUUUCUAUGGAAGCUUGCUUCCACUGAGAAGAUAGUGGCGAACGGGUGAGUAACACGUGGGUAACCCUGCCCAUAAGAGGGGGAUAACAUCCGGAAACGGGUGCUAAUACCGCAUAGUUUUCUUGAUCGCAUGAUUGAGAAAGGAAAGACGGCCUUUGUGCUGUCGCUUAUGGAUGGACCCGCGGCGUAUUAGUUAGUUGGUGAGGUAACGGCUCACCAAGACGAUGAUACGUAGCCGACCUGAGAGGGUGAUCGGCCACAUUGGGACUGAGACACGGCCCAAACUCCUACGGGAGGCAGCAGUAGGGAAUCUUCCGCAAUGGACGAAAGUCUGACGGAGCAACGCCGCGUGAGUGAAGAAAGGUUUUCGGAUCGUAAAACUCUGUUGUCAGAGAAGAACAAGUUGGAGAGUAACUGCUCCAGCCUUGACGGUAUCUGACCAGAAAGCCACGGCUAACUACGUGCCAGCCGCCGC
rnacentral:rRNA from 1 species